rnacentral:rRNA from 1 species
ACGGGAGGCAGCAGUGGGGAAUAUUGCACAAUGGGGGAAACCCUGAUGCAGCGACGCCGCGUGAGUGAAGAAGGAUUUCGGUAUGUAAAGCUCUAUCAGCAAGGAAGAAAAUGACGGUACUUGACUAAGAAGCUCCGGCUAAAUACGUGCCAGCAGCCGCGGUAAUACGUAUGGAGCAAGCGUUAUCCGGAUUUACUGGGUGUAAAGGGAGCGUAGACGGCAAAGCAAGUCUGAAGUGAAAUCCCGGGGCUCAACCCCGGAACUGCUUUGGAAACUGUUUAGCUAGAGUGCAGGAGAGGUAAGCGGAAUUCCUAGUGUAGCGGUGAAAUGCGUAGAUAUUAGGAGGAACACCAGUGGCGAAGGCGGCUUACUGGACUGUAACUGACGUUGAGGCUCGAAAGCGUGGGGAGCAAACAGGAUUAGAUACCCUGGUA